CCAGGCCAAGUCCUAACUGUAGGCUUAGGCAAGGGCCAGCAAUGCACGUAUAUUUCAAGGAGCUUCGUCUGUGCUCUGAGAAACUGUGUCUUGCACAGGUGGAGAAACAGGGAAUUCAGAGCGAUUCCUGAUUAGACCUCAGAGCACGUGGUUUGACCGGCCAUCUGGAAAGGGAGGGACAAGCCACAGACAGUUCAUAUAAAGUUUCAUAUAUAUAUAUUUUGAGACAGGGUCUCACUCUGUCACCCAGGCUGGAGUGCAGGGUUGUGAUCAUAGCUCACUGCAGCCUCAACCUCCUGGCCUCAAGCGAUCCUCCAGCCUUAGCCUCCGAAAGCAAUGGAAUUACAGGUGUGAGCCACCAUGCCCAGCUCUGGAACUCUUAAAAACUGAUGAGAAAAGGCAAGUUAAAAGGUCAGAGGAAUUAGAGUUUGUCAAGCCUCUGAGCCCAAGCUAAGCCAUCAUAUCCCCUGUGACCUGCAGGUAUACAUUGAGAUGGCCUGAAGCAACUGAAGAACCACAAAAGAAGUGAAAAUAGCCAAUUCCUGCCUUUACUGAUGACAUUCCACCAUCAUGAUUUGUUCCUGCCCCACCCUAAUUAACCAGUUGACCUUGUGACAUUCCUUCUCCUGGACAGUGAAUCUCAGGAGCUCCCCACUGAGCACCUUAUGACCUGCCCCUGCCUGCAAGAGAAAAAACCCCUUUAACUGUCAUUUUCCACUACCUACCCAAAUCCUAUAAAACUGCCCCACCCCUCUCUCCCUUUGCUGACUCCCUUUUCGGACUUGGUCUGCCUCCACCCAGGUGAUUAAAAA
rnacentral:lncRNA from 1 species